rnacentral:rRNA from 1 species
UGCCAGCCGCCGCGGUAAUACGGAGGGUGCGAGCGUUAAUCGGAAUCACUGGGCGUAAAGCGUACGUAGGCGGCGUAUCAAGUCAGGCGUGAAAGCCCUCGGCUCAACCGAGGAAUUGCGUUUGAAACUGGUAUGCUAGAGUCUCGGAGAGGUUGGCGGAAUUCCAGGUGUAGGAGUGAAAUCCGUAGAUAUCUGGAGGAACACCAGUGGCGAAAGCGACUUUCUGGGCCGUUCCUGACGCUGAGGUACGAAAGCCAGGGGAGCAAACGGGAUUAGAUA